GUUCGACGCUAUCUUGAUUUACAGCCAUUCCAGGAGCUCUGGUAUUCAAUAUUUUUCAAAGCUUAAUUCUUCUGAUAGACUAGGAUCAGGAACAAUCAACAUGAAAAUGAAGAAUUUAUUUGUUGUUGAGCUGAUUUCUACUCAGUCCUUCCAUGCGAUCUCGCACUUCGUCAAUUUUCUUGUUUGGCGUGUUGGUGAUUUGGGGCUUCUUGGUGGAUUUCAACAUUUUUUUUGUCAGGGGCAGAAGUAGUAAUGGGAUAUGAACCACUCGAGAGGAAUGGUUUCAUGGUUUGGUGUUGCAGAUUUUCUCCCUGUUCUAUCUUUUUGUAUAAGCAUUCAUGUUUGUGGGCUGGGGGUGGGGGCAGCAAAAUCCAGUGGAUUAAAAUAACUAAGGCCCAAAACCACAACAGUUUUCUCUUACCUCAAUCCAUGUUUACUCUACCAUGUCAUUGAACAUGUACAACCCAAUAUCACUAUCUUGUCUUGGUUAAUUAUCUGCAACAGAGCCUUUCUGCAGUGCUUCAAAUCACUCUUUGAUCAGAUUUGUAGAUAAGGAAAACGAUUGGUGGAGGUCCCGAUUGGUGGAGGUCGUGAAGUUGGUGGGUGGACUUUACUACUUUGAGUCACUAUUUAUGUCUAUUGCCUCCAUUGCUGUUGCCACACUGCUUGAAAUCCAUUGCUGCCUCGAUUACCUUCAUUGAAAAAGUAAAACUAUUAGUUCCUACUUUGAGUCAUGUGUCUAGUCUUACUUUGAGUCCCGUGUCUAGUUUUGAGUGUGAGUCUUUUUAGUUGGGAAAGCGUUGUUGUGUUUCUUUUGCUUUCUAAGUCAGUAAGUGGGUAGUAGGCGCUUUAGUGUUAGUUCAUUAUGAUGUUUGGGGUCCUAGUCUAGCUGUGUCUAAGUUGGGAUUUUGAUACUUUGUAACCUUUUUUUGAUGAUUAUUCAAGGAUGACUUGGCUCUAUUUAAUAAAAGAUUGUUUUCAGUUAUUUCA